rnacentral:rRNA from 1 species
UACGUAGGGGGCAAGCGUUGUCCGGAAUCAUUGGGCGUAAAGCGCGUGUAGGCGGUUUCGUAAGUCUGCUGUGAAAGUCGGAGGCUCAACCUUCGAAAGCCGGUGGAUACUGUGAGACUUGAGUACGGAAGAGGAGAGUGGAAUUCCUGGUGUAGCGGUGGAAUGCGCAGAUAUCAGGAGGAACACCGAUGGCGAAGGCAGAUCUCUGGGCCGUAACUGACGCUGAGGAGCGAAAGCGUGGGGAGCGAACAGG